rnacentral:rRNA from 1 species
CGCUGGCGGCGUGCUUAACACAUGCAAGUCGAACGGAAAGGCCCCCUUGUGGGGUACUCGAGUGGCGAACGGGUGAGUAACACGUGAGUAACCUACCCUUGACUUUGGGAUAACUUCAGGAAACUGGGGCUAAUACCGGAUAGGGAGCUCCUGCUGCAUGGUGGGGGUUGGAAAGUUUCGGCGGUUGGGGAUGGACUCGCGGCUUAUCAGCUUGUUGGUGGGGUAGUGGCUCACCAAGGCUUUGACGGGUAGCCGGCCUGAGAGGGUGACCGGCCACAUUGGGACUGAGAUACGGCCCAGACUCCUACGGGAGGCAGCAGUGGGGAAUAUUGCACAAUGGGCGGAAGCCUGAUGCAGCAACGCCGCGUGCGGGAUGACGGCCUUCGGGUUGUAAACCGCUUUCGCCUGUGACGAAGCGUGAGUGACGGUAAUGGGUAAAGAAGCACCGGCUAACUACGUG